rnacentral:rRNA from 1 species
GCCAAAAAUCCAGCCCCUCUAACCCCAAUGAAAGCCCAACCCUACUAAUACUUAAUAAAACAUUUCUCAACUUAGUAAAGGCGAUUAAAAAGUGCCUAGGAGCCCUAACACCAGUACCGCAAGGGAAAAAUGAAAUAAAAAUGAAAUAAAUUUAAAGCACUAUAAAGUAAAGACCUCCCCCCGUACCUUUUGCAUCAUGGUCUGACUAGUAUAACCAAGCAAAACGGACUUUAAGUUUGACACCCCGAAACUAGACGAGCUACUUCAAAACAGCCUUCACGGGCAAAUCCAUCUCUGUCGCAAAAGAGUGGAGAGAUUUUCAAGUAGAGGUGAUAAACCUACCGAGCCUAGAGAUAGCUGGUUAUUCAGGAAAAGGAUACAGUCCAACUUUAAGUCUAUCCGUAACACCCAAUACCACCACAGACUUAAAUUUUAUUCAAAUAGGGCACAGCCUAUUUGAAACAGGAUACAGCCUAUAAUAUAGGGUAAUGCCCCCAAUAAUGUGACCAAGUAGGCCUAGAAGCAGCCACCUUUUAGAAAGCGUUACAGCCCCACCAUAACCUAACCUCAAUCCCAAUCAAUACCCAAAACCCAUCACCCCUACUGAAUGACUCCAUAUAAAUAUGGAAAACCUUAUGUUAGAACUAGUAACAAGAACAGCCACUCUCCCACAAGCAAGUGUAACCCGGACUGAACCAAUCACCGGCACCUACCGCCAAUGAAAUUAUAAUAAUAACCCCCCCACAAGAAAACCUUAUCUACCCUAAGCGUUAACCUUACACUAGAACUUCCCAGGAAAGAUUAAAAGAAGGGGAAGGAACUCGGCAAACAUUAACCCCGCCUGUUUACCAAAAACAUCGCCUCCCGCCACCAAUGAGAGGUCCAGCCUGCCCAGUGACAAGCUUAAACGGCCACGGUACCCUAACCGCGCAAAGGUAGCACAAUCACUUGUUCUUUAAAUCAGGACUAGUAUGAACGGCACCACGAGGGUUAUACUGUCUCCCCCCUCUAAUCAGUGAAACUAAUCUCCCCGUGAAGAAGCGGGGAUAAACCUAUAAGACAAGAAGACCCCAUGGAGCUUUAAACUAAGUACCACCUGCCCAUCCCCACAUCACCCCAACCCAGCAGACCUGCCCUACUAGUUUUCGGUUGGGGUGACCGCGGAGAAAAACAAAACCUCCACGACGAAAGGACCUUCAUCCUAAUCAAAGGGCUACCACCCAUAGAAUCAUUAAAUUGACCAAAAUUGACCCAAUACCUUGAGCAACGAACCAAGUUACCCUGGGGAUAACAGCGCAAUCCACUUCAAGAGCCCCUAUCGACAAGUGGGUUUACGACCUCGAUGUUGGAUCAGGGUACCCCAGUGGUGCAGCCGCUACUAAAGGUUCGUUGUUCAACGAUAAAAU